CGUUCGGCCGUAAACCCCUGUCAUUUGUGACCAAACCUUUCAUUAAUAUGUGAAAAGCUGAUGGUAGCGGAAGAGGAAGGGACGGCUAACUCUGUGC
rnacentral:rRNA from 1 species